ensembl:lncRNA
CAGGUGAGAGGUGGAGAGACAGGAACUCAGGUGAGAGGUGGAGAGACAGGAACUCAGGUGAGAGGUGGAGAGACAGGAACUCAGGUGAGAGUGGAACAGACAGGAACCAGGUGAGAUGUGGAGAGACAGGAACUCAGGUGAGAGAUGGAAACAGACAGGAACUCAGGUGAGAGGUGGAGAGACAGGAAUUCAGGUGAGAGGUGGAGAGACAGGAACUCAGGUGAGAUGUGGAGAGACAGGAACUCAGGUGAGAGGUGGAGAGACAGGAACUCAGGUGAGAGGUGGAAACAGACAGGAACUCAGGUGAGAGGUGGAAACAGACAGGAACUCAGGUGAGAUGUGGAGAGACAGGAACUCAGGUGAGAGGUGGAGAGACAGGAACUCAGGUGAGAGGUGGAGAGACAGGAAC